rnacentral:rRNA from 1 species
UACGGAGGGGACUAGCGUUGUUCGGAAUUACUGGGCGUAAAGCGCACGUAGGCGGAUUUGUAAGUCAGGGGUGAAAUCCCGGGGCUCAACCUCGGAACUGCCUUUGAUACUGGCAAAUCUCGAGUCCGGAAGAGGUGAGUGGAAUUCCUAGUGUAGAGGUGAAAUUCGUAGAUAUUAGGAAGAACACCAGUGGCGAAGGCGGACUCACUGGUCCGGUACUGACGCUGAGGUGCGAAAAGCGUGGGGAGCAAACAGGGAUU